GAAAACCACUUCAGUGAUUCCUGGGAUUCAAUAUAGUCAGAGAGCAAUUCAUACGUACUCUACACUGACAUACCCCCUUACCCAACUUCUUUCACAAACACCAGAUGCUCUAGUGGUACUUGAAAUAAAUAACUCUGAAGUCUUGAUCCUCUUUGGAUACCUGAAUCGCCAGGUAUUGAAGCUGGUACUAAAGUUGAUGAUGCCUCAUUGAGGCCAUGUUAGACCAACUUGUAUACGUUGGACCUCCCAUCAUCAGCCAUGGUACUCUACUUCGUGUGCAAGGGAUAACCAUUAACAAUGAAAGUAGAACUGAAAUACUGGUAACGUUACCUAGGGGUAAUGGUUAUUCAUCUUAUUCUCAAAACUCCAAGUCACUAUGACUCAACCAGGGGCAGUUACACUGCUCCUUGGUUAUUUUUCAGUUUAACUGCUGUUUUCCAAGAUAAAUGAGCUAACAACCUUAAAAAAAAUAAAAUUUUCUCCAUCAUUGGCACAUCUCCAAAAUUACGAAUACUCUUCGCUAACUACAUGUAACACCUGAUCCACAAGAGACUAUUUUUGGAUAUCCUCUCUCCUGUAUAUGAUGUUAAAUGUGAUGCUUUGGAAAAUUUUCUUCUAACCAAUGAGAGGUACUCUUAUGAUGGAUCUUUUGAUGUCUGGUACCAUCAACUACCAGGCGUUAGGGAUAUUUGGAGGUAGACCUUUUGACCAAGCCAUGGUAGUUUGCUUGCUGGGCAUCUCAAGUUGUGUAUCAUCUACCUUUUUGCUGGAAAUGUAGACUGACUUGAAAAUCUACAAAGCCUGCAGCUAAGAUUUUAGACUCCCGAGCUUCCUGCAGCUUCUUCCUAAUAUUACAAGACCACAGUGUCUUGUCCUUGUGGAUGUUUUAAUGGAGUUUCAUCUGUCUCAAUACUGUUGUUUUACACUGAUUCAGAGUGGCUGACUUCAUUCCUUGCUAUGAGAUACUCUCAGGCAUUAAGACAACUUAAUCUGUUUCUGCAGGAUGGAUUCAAUUCAUGAACUCCCAGACAGAUCAUGUCAGACAAGUAGACUUCGAUUUUUGUCAUGAGAAAAAUCUCAGUCCUUCACUUCACAGUCUACUUAAGGGCCAGCUAUCCUCAACUAUAAUGAAUGCACUGGUUAAAUGUUGGGAAUGAUUUCUUUGUAUCUUUGUCUCUUAUUCUCUAGACUAACCCGGAUUAUGUGACUUUGUCUACAAAUCAUCAAACAAGGCCUGUGCAUCCUCAACUAAUAAAAAUCUAACGACUAGCUUGCUUGUAUAUACAACUAUUGUUAAUAAGAAGUUAUCUACAAACUCCAUUUUCUACUACCUUCAAAAUGUCAGCUCAAUUUUUUUUUUCUGUACUUUACAGAAAAAGAUACGGAUCUACACUGCCAGUCAUUCCGUUUAAUCCUGUCAAACACAGUCAAAAUGAGGGAUUUAAGGUGAGGAUCAUCUGUUCGAGAGUCUAAUAUACACUGUAUAUAAAAAUUGAUGGUUGAAAAUAAAGCCUAAAACUCAAAUCUAGGGCUUUACCUAUCUCCCUGCCUCAGAUCUCAAUCUAAGUCUUUCGGCAGCACUAUCCAACCAACCUAAGGCCUUUUUUAUAAGCUGAUUCUCAGAGACGGGCCGUUUCAGAAGAUGGAGACUUGAUUACCAAAGAGAGUAGGGCCAACCUUCAUGAACCUGGCUCUCCCAACCUUGUCAUUCCCAGAUGUAGCAUAGACUCAACAGAACCUCAAGUCUGAAUUGAGAAUAUAUCCUUCUACUGAGCUGAAAGUUCUUGGGCAGAUACAUAUGAAAAUGAAAGCUGUAUACGUGACUGAUGAAAAUGGUAUCCAGAGGAAACCCUAAGGAAUGACCCUGGAGUACUCAGGGUAAAAACUAAUUUACAGAGCAUUGAUAUCAAUCUGCCCAUUCUUCCAGAUAACAUCCUGGCUAUUGGUGUGGCUAGCCCUGGUGAAGGUAACCUAUUUGUCUGUUUUAUGUAACCCAGCCCUGUCUGCCAUUUUUGAAAAUUUGCGAUCAGACUGGCUGUGCUUGAGAAAACUACAACUGGUAUCAGCCUUACACUCAUUUCCACCCAGGAGUUUUGAAUUGAAGCAACCUGCACCUCACCCCCACCCAUUCCCCUGGACUUAAAUGUUCACAACUGGAAGGACCAUGCUAUAUACUACUUGACCAGCAGCUCUUUUUAAGUGCAGAGUAAGUCUCUACAUAUAUAUAUUUGAUCAUUUUCAGCAUCUGAGACCUUAUACUAGAUCUGAAGGACUACAGCAGAUUGAAAGCACUGUCCAUUCCUCUCUUCUGCAGUAAUACAGAGAUGACAGAAAUGUACCAGUUCACCUUGACAAACAGCUAAAAAGAACACAAGAAAAGGUUUCCACUUAACUUAAACUUACCACUGACUUCAGCAGCCUCAGGACUAUUUGCCAAUGGGAGGCUUGUUCGCUUUGUGUCAGCAAGAUGGUUGGGCUCUCAGAUUCAAGGCCACCGAGUUUACUUCUGUUGAAAUGCUAUUGCAUCAUCCAAAGUACUCUAUUGGACAUGAUUAUUCCCUUCAAAUGGAUUACAGGCUUCCUGAGUACAGGACAGACUUACUCCUCAUGAUGUUUUCUUCAAAAUACUCUUAUUAUCAAGAAAGUAACAAUGCCAGCUGUUACUGAACAGAGACUAAGCGAAUUUUUCAGUAUCUGGUCUUACCAUUGACGUCAGUUGUUUUUGAUUGACCAGCAUCCAUUGCACUCUUUAUAACAACUCUGAUGUUUCUUGGAACCACUUUUCCUUAUUUCCAGUUCACAUGGUUCAAACAGUCUGGCCUAACUUUAAGCUUCUUGGGUGUACAUGUAAUUCAGACCUGAUCAAUCAGCAUAGUCCCAUCUCUUUCACCAUAGUGAUUGGUUCUGGAAUGGUUUGAUUCAAAUUGGUCCAGUGAUACUCAGCCAUAAGAGUUUUACUGAACUGUGGAGGAGAAGCUCCGAAGCUAUCUUUACUGAGGUUGCUUGGCUUUGUAGUAUGAAAGCUCUAACCAACAGGGCCCACCAUAUUAAAUGAGCCAGAAAAUGAAGCCAGUGCCGAGGAAAGCAGAGCCAAAUGAUGGAGAGACUUGAGUCCUGAUGACAAUGUUUGUGCCCCUGGAUCCAACCGUGCCUGAAGCUAGUAUAUCCCUAUGGACUUUUCAGUUAUGUGAGCCAAUAAAUACCCUUUUUUGCUUUAAGUUACUUUGAGUUGGGUUUCUAUUGCUUAAUAUUGAGUCAGUCCUGACUAGUAUACUGUCUACCAAUAUCAAAGCUUAACAGAUUCAAGUAUUUAUUAAACUGGAGGUCAUGGCCACACUGAACUUACUUUUCAAACCAGAAGACAGAGUGAAACAGGAAGUGACAAUGUUUAAGUUACUACAGACACAUAAAAAUUACAUAGUAGAAAAAUACAGAAGAAAACCUAAGUGUUUAUUGGUAAAGGAUUGGUUAAAUAACACAUUUCAGCCAUGUAAGAAAAUCUAUAUGGCUAUUAAAAUUAAUAAACUACCUUUAUUCUGUACGGACAUGGAAAAUGGCCAUGAUAAUAUUAAGUGCAACAAACUAUUAAUAGAAAAAUGUAUAGUAUGAACUCACUUAAAAAUUUGUGUUUAUGAUGCAUAGAAAAGUCAACUAAUGGCUUUCUUCAAAUAGUGUAGUUUACAUGAGACUUUCAACUUUAUAUGUUUCUGUAUUGAAUAUUUUACACUACUCACAUUACUUUUAAACUUUAUUUAAAAAUAAAGGAUUUUAAAAAU
rnacentral:lncRNA from 1 species